UAAGUACUAAUGGCUAGGCCGCGCAUCUCUUUGAUUCUAGUUUCAAUACAAUUAUUAUCAUCCUUGAUUAUAUAUAUAUUAUUUUGAUUGAACUUUGUUCUCGUAAAGUGCUUGAGGCAAGAGGACGGGAAUAAUUUAUGCGGGUUCUACGUUUGCGAGUUCAUCCGCCAGAAUACCCAUCAUGUGAGGGACAUUUUGGAACAACUUGAUAUCGAACGGUUGCGGGACGGUCUUCUAGCAACAGAGCGUGUACGAGCAAUUCAAGAAGAACUGGCGGGGUUCUUACUUGAGCAAGUCAUAGCUCCAGAUGGAGAACACUAUGUGGACAACCGCCAAUAUCAAAGUUGAUGUAGACAUAUAUAUAUAUGCAUGAACGUGUGUCACUUUGAUCGAUAUAUGUAAUACAAUGGUUUCCUAUAUAUAUAUUUGAAUUGUUUGCAUUAA